UGGGGGAUAUUGCACAAUGGGCGAAAGCCUGAUGCAGCGACGCCGCGUGGGGGAUGAAGGCCUUCGGGUUGUAAACUUCUUUUGCUCUGAACAAGGCGCACCAUGGGGUGUGUUGAGUGUAGGGGUUGAUUAGCGCCGGCUAACUACAUGCCAGCAGCCGCGGUAAUACGUAGGGCGCGAGCGUUGUCCGGAAUUAUUGGGCGUAAAGGGCUUGUAGGUGGCUGGUUGCGUCUGUCGUGAAAGCUCAUGGCUUAACUGUGGGUUUGCGGUGGGUACGGGCUGGCUUGAGUGCAGUAGGGGAGGCUGGAAUUCCUGGUGUAGCGGUGGAAUGCGCAGAUAUCAGGAGGAAUACCGGUGGCGAAGGCGGGUCUCUGGGCUGUUACUGACACUGAGGAGCGAAAGCAUGGGGAGCGAACAGG
rnacentral:rRNA from 1 species